UCGCUCUUUCGUAACUCCUUGGCAGCGC
rnacentral:sRNA from 1 species